rnacentral:rRNA from 1 species
UACAGAGGUCUCAAGCGUUGUUCGGAUUCAUUGGGCGUAAAGGGUGUGUAGGUGGCGCGCUAAGUCGGGUGUGAAAUUUCGGAGCUUAACUUCGAAACUGCAUUCGAUACUGGCGUGCUUGAGGACUGGAGAGGAGACUGGAAUUCGUGGUGUAGCAGUGAAAUGCGUAGAGAUCAUGAGGAAGACCAGUGGCGAAGGCGGAGACCUGGGCCGAUACUGACGCUGAGGUGCGAAAGCGUGGGGAGCAAACAGG